AUGAUCAUUACUGGUGACGACUCUGAGUACAUUGCCUUUGUUAAGGCUCGUCUUCGCGACCAGUUCCUCAUGACUGAUCUUGGUCCUCUUCGCUAUUUUCUUGGGAUUGAGAUCUCCUCGACCUCUGAUGGCUUCUACAUCUCCCAAGAAAAAUAUAUUCAGGAUCUUCUUGCUCGCGCUGCUCUUGGUGAUGAGCGCACAGUUGUGACUCCUAUGGAGCUCAACUUUCAGCUUCGUGCCUUUGAUGGUGACCCUCUUCCUAAUCCCACUCGCUAUCGCCACCUCGUUGGCAGCCUUGUCUAUCUGGCUGUUACACGCCCUGACAUCUCCUAUCCUGUCCACAUCCUGAGUCAGUUUGUUUCAGCCCCCACCUCUGUCCACUAUAGUCACCUCCUCCGUGUUCUACGAUAUCUUCGUGGCACGAUCUCUCAGCGCCUUUUCUUUCCCCGCUCCAGCUCUCUUGAGCUCUAG
rnacentral:rRNA from 1 species